rnacentral:rRNA from 1 species
GAUGAACGCUGGCGGCGUGCCUAAUACAUGCAAGUCGAGCGAACGGACGAGAAGCUUGCUUCUCUGAUGUUAGCGGCGGACGGGUGAGUAACACGUGGAUAACCUACCUAUAAGACUGGGAUAACUUCGGGAAACCGGAGCUAAUACCGGAUAAUAUUUUGAACCGCAUGGUUCAAAAGUGAAAGACGGUCUUGCUGUCACUUAUAGAUGGAUCCGCGCUGCAUUAGCUAGUUGGUAAGGUAACGGCUUACCAAGGCAACGAUGCAUAGCCGACCUGAGAGGGUGAUCGGCCACACUGGAACUGAGACACGGUCCAGACUCCUACGGGAGGCAGCAGUAGGGAAUCUUCCGCAAUGGGCGAAAGCCUGACGGAGCAACGCCGCGUGAGUGAUGAAGGUCCUCGGAUCGUAAAACUCUGUUAUUAGGGAAGAACAUAUGUGUAAGUAACAGUGCACAUCUUGACGGUACCUAAUCAGAAAGCCACGGCUAACUACGUG